UAAAUUUAGAGUUUGAUCCUGGCUCAGGACGAACGCUGGCGGCGUGCUUAACACAUGCAAGUCGAGCGAUGAAGCUUCCUUCGGGAAGUGGAUUAGCGGCGGACGGGUGAGUAACACGUGGGUAACCUGCCUCAAAGUGGGGGAUA
rnacentral:rRNA from 1 species